GCCGGGUGCAUUGGCGCUCGCCUGUGAUCCAAGUUACCGGGAGGCUGAGGCUGGUGGAUCGCUUGAGCUCAGGAGCUCUGGGCUGCAGCGCGCUAUGCCGAUCGGGUGUCCGCACUAAGUUCGGUAUGGACCUGGUGAUCCCGGGCUCCCCCAGGAGCACCAUGUCCAUACCGAA
ensembl:misc_RNA Metazoa_SRP Metazoan signal recognition particle RNA